AUUGAACGCUGGCGGCAUGCCUUACACAUGCAAGUCGAACGGCAGCAUGGAGAGCUUGCUCUCUGAUGGCGAGUGGCGAACGGGUGAGUAAUGCAUCGGAACGUACCGUGUAAUGGGGGAUAACGUAGCGAAAGUUACGCUAAUACCGCAUACGACCUGAGGGUGAAAGCAGGGGAUCGCAAGACCUUGCGUUAUACGAGCGGCCGAUGUCAGAUUAGCUAGUUGGUGAGGUAAAGGCUCACCAAGGCGACGAUCUGUAGCGGGUCUGAGAGGAUGAUCCGCCACCCUGGGACGGAGACACGGCCCAGACUCCUACGGGAGGCAGCAGUGGGGAAUGUUGGACAAUGGGGGCAACCCUGAUCCAGCCAUGCCGCGUGAGUGAAGAAGGCCUUCGGGUUGUAAAGCUCUUUCGGCCGGGAAGAAAUCGCACAGGCUAAUACUCUGUGUGGAUGACGGUACCGGCAUAAGAAGCACCGGCUAACUACGUGCCAGCCGCCGCCGUAA
rnacentral:rRNA from 1 species